ACGGAAGGCAGCAGUGAGGAAUAUUGGUCAAUGGGCGGAAGCCUGAACCAGCCAAGUCGCGUGAAGGAUGAAGGUAUUAUGUAUUGUAAACUUCUUUAGCCAGGGGGCAAUAAGGCGUACGCGUACGCCGAUGAGAGUACCUGGAGAAUAAGGAUCGGCUAACUCCGUGCCAGCAGCCGCGGUAAUACGGAGGAUCCGAGCGUUAUCCGGAUUUAUUGGGUUUAAAGGGUGCGCAGGCGGCUUUUUAAGUCAGUGGUUAAAUCGUGACGCUCAACGUCAUCACGCCAUUGAUACUGGAGAGCUUGAUUGCGGUCGAGGUUUGCGGAAUUCGUCGUGUAGCGGUGAAAUGCAUAGAUAUGACGAAGAACACCGAUUGCGUAGGCAGCAGACCAGGCCGUAAAUGACGCUCAUGCACGAAAGUGCGGGGAUCGAGCAGGAUUAGAUACCCUGGUA
rnacentral:rRNA from 1 species